rnacentral:misc_RNA from 1 species
UCGUAACAAGGUUUCCGUAGGUGAACCUGCGGAAGGAUCAUUACAGUAUUCUUUUGCCAGCGCUUAACUGCGCGGCGAAAAACCUUACACACAGUGUCUUUUUGAUACAGAACUCUUGCUUUGGUUUGGCCUAGAGAUAGGUUGGGCCAGAGGUUUAACAAAACACAAUUUAAUUAUUUUUACAGUUAGUCAAAUUUUGAAUUAAUCUUCAAAACUUUCAACAACGGAUCUCUUGGUUCUCGCAUCGAUGAAGAACGCAGCGAAAUGCGAUAAGUAAUAUGAAUUGCAGAUUUUCGUGAAUCAUCGAAUCUUUGAACGCACAUUGCGCCCUCUGGUAUUCCAGAGGGCAUGCCUGUUUGAGCGUCAUUUCUCUCUCAAACCCCCGGGUUUGGUAUUGAGUGAUACUCUUAGUCGGACUAGGCGUUUGCUUGAAAAGUAUUGGCAUGGGUAGUACUAGAUAGUGCUGUCGACCUCUCAAUGUAUUAGGUUUAUCCAACUCGUUGAAUGGUGUGGCGGGAUAUUUCUGGUAUUGUUGGCCCGGCCUUACAACAACCAAACAAGUUUGACCUCAAAUCAGGUAGGAAUACCCGCUGAACUUAAGCAUAUC